rnacentral:misc_RNA from 1 species
UUUCCGUAGGUGAACCUGCGGAAGGAUCAUUAUUGUAUAACCGAGGUGCGAGGGCUGUCGCUGACCCGGGAGGUCGUGCACGCCCGAGUGCCCUCACACACAUCCAUCUCACCCCUAUGUGCACCACCGCGUGGGUCCCCCUUUGGCUUGUUCGGAGGGGGGCUUACGUUUUCACACAAACUUUGUAUGCAGUGUAGAAUGUAUUUUUUGUUUUUGCGAUCACGCAAUCAAUACAACUUUCAACAACGGAUCUCUUGGCUCUC